rnacentral:siRNA from 1 species
CGAUGAUUUCGUGUGCUUAGUU